rnacentral:tRNA from 1 species
CAGAGGAUAGUUUAAAAGAAAAUUUUAAAUUUGGGUUUUAAAGAGGGAAUAUUUUCCUCCUCUGA